ACGCUCGACACCUACGGGAGGCAGCAGUUGGGAAUAUUGGACAAUGGAGGAAACUCUGAUCCAGUGACGCCGCGUGAAGGAAGAAGGUCUUCGGAUUGUAAACUUAUUUUGUCAGGGAAGAAAAAAUGACUGUACCUGAAGAAAAAGCACCGGCUAACUACGUGUCAGCAGCCGCGGUAAUCUGAGCGGGCUGGCAAGGC
rnacentral:rRNA from 1 species